UGGACAUGUUGGAAAGUCUCCAGACUUC
rnacentral:piRNA from 1 species